rnacentral:rRNA from 1 species
UACGAAGGGGGCUAGCGUUGCUCGGAAUCACUGGGCGUAAAGGGUGCGUAGGCGGGUCUUUAAGUCAGGGGUGAAAUCCUGGAGCUCAACUCCAGAACUGCCUUUGAUACUGAGGAUCUUGAGUUCGGGAGAGGUGAGUGGAACUGCGAGUGUAGAGGUGAAAUUCGUAGAUAUUCGCAAGAACACCAGUCGGCCGAAGGCGGCUCACUGGCCCGUACUACGUGACGCUGAGGCACGAAAGCGUGGGGAAGCCAAAGCAGGGAUUAAGAAAACCCUGGUUAGUCC